rnacentral:rRNA from 1 species
UGGGGAAUAUUGCACAAUGGAGGAAACUCUGAUGCAGCGACGCCGCGUGAGUGAAGAAGGUCUUCGGAUCGUAAAACUCUGUCCUUGGUGACGAAAAAAAUGACGGUAGCCAAGGAGGAAGCCCCGGCUAACUACGUGCCAGUAGCCGCGGUAAUACGUAGGGGGCGAGCGUUGUCCGGAUUUACUGGGCGUAAAGGGUGAGUAGGCGGUAAUAUGUGUCAGAUGUAAAAGGCUAUGGCUUAACCAUAGUUGGCAUUUGAAACUGUAUUACUUGAGUGCAGGAGAGGUAAGUGGAAUUCCUAGUGUAGCGGUGAAAUGCGUAGAUAUUAGGAGGAACACCAGUGGCGAAGGCGACUUACUGGACUGUAACUGACGCUGAGUCACGAAAGCGUGGGUAGCAAACA